CAACGCAAACAAACACUGCCCUGUGUAUAUAAUUCUGUAGCCGCGGUAAGGACUGAGUUUAUAUCUGUCUCAGCAAAGUGAUUGAAAAUCUGCGAGUCUGAGAUAGUCAGAGCAAGCUUGAUAAAAGCCUCCUUGGUCAGAGCGAGCAACGAUGGGGCAUUGCUUUUCGGCAACUGUAGACGCCUUGGACGACAACCACAGUCACCAUAGUCAUCACAGUCAUGGCCACGGUCAUAGGCACAAGCUUGGGCUUGGCUGCUGUCUAGCGUUGUGCUGCGGCAUUUGCCUUGGCCACAAGAUGCGGUCAAGGAGGGGAUCCCACUCCAGCCACGGCUCGGGACACUCACACCACUCGCACCGCUCCCACAAGCACAAGAAGCACCACAAGAAGCACCACAAGAAGCACAGGAGGGGGUCAAACUCGAGCUAAAGAGCCAGGAAUUGGACUAUAGGUGUUCUGGGACAACUGAGAACGGGUUUACGCUCCGCAGAGGGAAAAUCGAGCCACAGCUAACUGCAGUCUACAGUCAUCCGUCUUUCUGAGGACCUGUCAAAUGCACGCCACGCCACAAUGAUGUGUAAUGUUAUAUGCAACACAAAAUCCACUGGUAUAAAAGUGAAACGCAACUUCAAAAACUUCAGAGUCAAGAUUGAACUUGAAUUACAAUCAAACUAAAAAAAAUCACAGUUUCGAAGCAAAUGAACUAGAUAUUGUUUUACAGAGGAUUGACAACAAAUGUUUCAUAAAAAAAGUUUGUAAAAUAGUUAACAGAUGCUAUAGAUGUGUUGUACAUAUUUUUGAUAAAGAUAUAUUUCCCAUAGUACAAUUUGAAACGUUAGUCUGUGUGUUUGUAUCAAAGCCACACAGGCAUUCGAACGUAACCCACAAAGCUAUUAUUGCUGGGACGCUGCACAGUUUAUGUGGUCAUGAAAAGCUAAUUUGUUUUGUUGUGUUUGUGUGUAUCCAUGACUAAACGAGUUGACCUAAAUCAACCCAAUACUUCAAAGUGCACAAGGUCGAUGUUCUAAUAGGUCUGCAACAUAAUGAAAGAUUUAGCUGAUUAGUUUAUUUGUAGUUUAACAUAUCCAUACAGAAGGUGGACAUGUGCCGAACUGUUUUCUGACUUAAGAUGAAGUUUUGUUAAUAAAGUUUGUGUCUAAGGA